GAGAACACCAGCCAGGAUUGCGUUUGUGACCCGCUUCUGACUCUAGACUGUCACACACUCUCUUGGGCAUGUGGAGAUGUCAGGAUGUGGAAGUGGAGGAAAAAGUAC